UACGUAAGGUGCGAGCGUUAAUCGGAAUUACUGGGCGUAAAGCGUGCGUAGGCGGUUCGCUGUGUCCGAUGUGAAAGCCCCGGGCUUAACCUGGGAAUGGCAUUGGAAACUGGCGGGCUUGAGUGCGGCAGAGGGGGGUGGAAUUCCGCGUGUAGCAGUGAAAUGCGUAGAGAUGCGGAGGAACACCGAUGGCGAAGGCAGCCCCCUGGGUCGACACUGACGCUCAGGCACGAAAGCGUGGGGAGCAAACAGG
rnacentral:rRNA from 1 species